UUCUGAGCAAAAAACGGAACAGACUGAAGGGGAAAACAGUAAAUAUGUUAUUGUUCCUUAACAAAAACUAGUGAAUAAGGGAAAGUGUCACUGUUGGAUGUUUUUGUUGAAAUGUUACAUGUACGGAAUUUUCAUG